UUUAAUUUCUUUAACUGCUUCUAAUUAACUUCGUCUUCCACCCGAUGUGCCGCUCCGGCUCCUUCGCUCGCCCCUCUAGAUGCCGCUCCGACUCCUGUUCCCACUCUGGACGGAAUGUUGGGCCGAGUUCAUGGUCGAGCCUUCUUCCCGUCGCGCCCGUUCCCGUUAGCGACGCUUCGUUUCGUUCGCCCCCUAGAUGCCGCUCUAACUCCUGUUCCCUCUCUAGAUAGAAUGUUAGGCCGAGUUCAUGGUCUGCCCUUCUUCCCGUCGCACCGUUCCCGUUAGCAACGCUUCGUUUCGGCUUAUUCAUCCCCUCCGGUCAUGAAAAUGCUAGCCCUCUGCGGGCUUCGAUUUCACCUCCGGGAAGCGGAUCGAGUAGAAGCUUCUCGAUUACAAUCAAGAGGCCCAGCCGUUUGGAGGUGAGAAAAGCAAUUGUUGCGUAAUAUUUGUGAGAAGUUUUCCCUCCCUCCUCCGAGGUAUGGAAUCACCGUAGGCUCGAGCAAUCAAUUUUGCACUUUUGUAGAUGUCCAAGUUCCAAGGUGUGGCCGCUGUAUGGAGGUUAUUACAUGUUGGGGUUCUCCAUCUGUCGAUUCGAGCUUGUCUGAAAAUGAAGCUACUCGGGCUGCUAUCGAGACGCUAUGAAAUGAACUUCAAUUUGACAUUAGGGAUGCUAAUUAUACUGAAAAAAAAAACCAUUUUAAAAACUUAUAUGAUAGUGCUUCCUGAAAAUAUGGAGAUCUUCGAAAUGAAUGCGAAAUGCUAAAGAAGGAACAUGCUAUACUCAAGAGGUUUUACAAUUCUUUAAUGAAAGAAGGAGAUCGGAUUCUCGGUGAUUGGAAUGAAAUUAGGGCGGAUAUUAGCAAGUGUCACAGUCUGCUUGCUCAAUCCAACAUUGAUCCAAUGGAUGCAGAUCGAUAUCUAUUUGCCGCUGAAAGUUUGCCAAGCACUGAAGAUCAUUUACCUGCAAAUGAAGCCCGUGCAGCAGAGUCUGCAUCAGGAACCGAAGAAGAUCUUGAACCUCCUUCUGAUUAUUAUAGGAACUAAGAUUAGGACGGUCCUGAACCAUCUUCUGAUUACUAUAGGAAAAAAGAUUAGGGCUUCCUUCGUUCUUGUGUUCUGGCUUUUUGAAUUCCUGUGACGCCCCGACUUCCCAGGGGGCCACC